rnacentral:rRNA from 1 species
CCUACGGGUGGCAGCAGUCGAGAAUCAUUCACAAUGGGGGAAACCCUGAUGGUGCGACUCCGCGUGGGGGAAUGCAGGUCUUCGGUUUGUAAACCCCUGUCAUGUGGGAGCAAAUUAACAAGAUAGUACCACAAGUGGAAGAGACGCCUAACUCUGUGCCAGCAGCCGCGGUAAUACGGAGGGCUCAAGCGUUGUACGGAAUCACUGGGCGUAAAGCGUGCGUAGGCGGUUUCGUAAGUCGUGUGUGAAAGGCGCGGGCUCAACCCGCGGACGGCACAUGAUACUGCGAGACUAGAGUAAGGGAGGGGGAACCGGAAUUCUCGGUGUAGCAGUGAAAUGCGUAGAUAUGGAGAGGAACACUCGUGGCGAAGGCGGGUUCCUGGACAUUAACUGACGCUGAGGCACGAAGGCCAGGGGAGCGAAAGGGAUUAGAUACCCGAGUAGUC